CCUACGGGGGGCAGCAGUGAGGAAUCUUGCGCAAUGGGCGAAAGCCUGACGCAGCGACGCCGCGUGAGGGAUGAAGGCCUUCGGGUUGUAAACCUCUGUCAGGGGGGAAGAACCCUCGGGCGGUGAAUAACCGCCCGGGCUGACGGUACCCCCAGAGGAAGCACCGGCUAACUCCGUGCCAGCAGCCGCGGUAAGACGGAGGGUGCGAACGUUGUUCGGAAUCACUGGGCGUAAAGGGCGCGUAGGCGGACCUGUAAGUCGGGAGUGAAAACUCGGGGCUCAACUCCGAGCCUGCUUCCGAAACUGCGGGUCUUGAGGACCGGAGAGGAGAGUGGAAUUCCUGGUGUAGCGGUGGAAUGCGUAGAUAUCAGGAAGAACACCGGUGGCGAAGGCGACUCUCUGGACGGUUCCUGACGCUGAGGCGCGAAAGCUGGGGGAG
rnacentral:rRNA from 1 species